rnacentral:rRNA from 1 species
AUUGAACGCUGGCGGUAGGCCUAACACAUGCAAGUCGAACGCGAAAGUCCUUCGGGAUGAGUAGAGUGGCGGACGGGUGAGUAACGCGUAGGAAUCUAUCCUGUAGUGGGGGAUAACGUUUCGAAAGGAACGCUAAUACCGCAUACGCCCCAAGGGGGAAAGCGGGGGAUCUUCGGACCUCGUGCUAUAGGAGGAGCCUGCGUCGGAUUAGCUAGUUGGUGAGGUAAAGGCUCACCAAGGCGACGAUCCGUAGCUGGUCUGAGAGGAGGAUCAGCCACACCGGAACUGAGACACGGUCCGGACUCCUACGGGAGGCAGCAGUGGGGAAUAUUGCGCAAUGGGCGAAAGCCUGACGCAGCCAUACCGCGUGAGUGAAGAAGGCCUUCGGGUUGUAAAGCACUUUCAGUGGGGAGGAAAAGCUGGUGGCUAAUAUCCAUCGGCCGUGACGCUACCCACAGAAGAAGCACCGGCUAAUUCCGUGCCAGCCGCCGCGGUAAAAC